rnacentral:rRNA from 1 species
AUGAGGCUUGUGGUGCAUGUCAUCGAGGCCCGCAACCUCCCGGCGGCGGAGGCGCAGGGGCUGGGCGACCCGUACGCCAAGCUGCAGCUGGGGAGGCAGCGGGCCAAGACCAAGGUGAUCAGGAAGUCGGCCAACCCCGUGUGGGACGAGGAGUUCGCCUUCCGGGUCGGGGACCUCAAGGAGGAGCUCCUCAUACGCAUCACCGACGAGGACAAGUACUUCUCCGACGAUUUCCUCGGCCAGGUCAAGGUGCCCCUCUCCGCCGUGCUCGACGCCGACAACCGCUCCCUCGGGACGCGCUGGUACCCGCUGCAGCCCAAGAGCAAGAAGUCCAAGAUCAGAGAUUGCGGAGAAAUUCAUCUUACCAUAUCUCUAUCUCAAAGUUACCCUGAAGAGACAGCGACACUUGCACAUUGGGCUUCAGACGACUUUGCAUCAAGUUCAGACAAAUCAAGUGAAUUAAGGAAGGGAUCUUCUUUGCCAAAUAUUCCUAUAGAACUAUCCACGUCGCCACCAGUUACUGAUGAAGCAGAAAUUACUAAGCAGGAUAAAUCAAAUGCUGGUCCAUCAUUUGUCAACCGGCUAAAUCAAUUUUUUUCAGUAAAACCAAAAGACACAGAAGCUUCUGUUCCACCUGUGUUCAAGCAUGACCGUGGUUUGGACACUCUUGAAGAAAUGCCAUUAACAAGCUCACAACUUUCUGAUGAGCAGGAUUUUGAAACUAGUGCAAAUAUGUCAUUUGAUGAACUACUAAAAGCCUUUGCAUCUAAGCAUGAAGGGAAUGAUAUGCCUGGAAAUUUGUCAGGUGGAAUUCUUAUUGAUCAGGUUUAUGCCGUUGCACCCAAUGACUUGAAUACACUUCUUUUCUCACCAAGUUCAGACUUUCUGCAAUCACUAGCGAAGAUGCAAGGGACUACCGGUCUGGAUAUUCAACAAUGGAGACUUGAAAAUGAUGGUGAGAUCUUGAAGAGGGUUAUAACCUACACAAAAGCUGCUACUAAACUAGUUAAGGCCGUGAAAGCAACAGAAGACGUGACAUAUCUCAAGGCAGAUGGAGAUAUGUAUGCAGUUUUAGCAGAUGUCAGUACUCCUGAAGUCCCUUUUGGCAAUAAUUUUAGGGUGGAGAUUUUAACCUGUAUAAUGCCAGGGCCUGAACUAAGAGAUGAUGAAAGAUCUUCACGGCUUGUAAUCUCGUGGCGCUUAAAUUUCAUGCAAAGUACCAUGAUGAAGGGCAUGAUAGAAAAUGGUGCAAAACAAGGACUGAAGGACAACUUCAGUCAGUUCUCUGAACUUCUGGCUCAAAAUGUCAGACCAGUUGAUGCAAAAGAUACAACAACAAAUAAUGAAAGCUUGUCUUCAGUGCAACCGGAAACAGAAUCCGAUUGGAAACUAGCAUUCCGAAUCUUUGGAAAUUUUACUGUUGUAUCCUCCGUUGUUGCGUUUAUCUAUGUUUUUGCACACAUCAUCCUUGCAAGUCCUAGUAUAAUUCAAGGUCUCGAGUUCCCUGGCCUGGACUUGCCAGAUUCUGUUGGUGAAGUUGUGGUUUGUGGAGUUCUUGUUCUGCAAGGACAACGUGUCCUUAAUAUGAUUGCACGGUUUGUCCAGGCAAGGAGGCAAAGAGGCGGUGAUCAUGGUGUCAAAGCAAAAGGCGAUGGCUGGUUGCUGACUGUUGCUUUGAUAGAUGGGACCAACUUAUCAGCAACAAAGUCAUCUGGUUACUCUGAUCCAUAUGUUGUAUUUACUUGCAAUGGACAGACAAAGACAAGCUCGAUUAAGUUUCACACUCUUGAGCCUCAGUGGAAUGAAAUUUUUGAAUUUGAUGCCAUGGAAGACCCACCCUCAGUGAUGGAAAUAAACGUAUAUGAUUUUGAUGGACCCUUUGAUGAAGUUGCCUCCCUUGGUCACGUUGAAGUAAAUUUCUUGAAAUAUAGUAUAUCUGAGCUUGCCGACAUUUGGAUUCCUCUCAAGGGAAAGCUGGCUCAAGCAUGUCAAUCAAAAUUACAUUUGAGAAUUUUCUUGAACAAUUCAAGGGGUACAGAAGUUGUGAAGGAUUACCUGGACAGGAUGGAGAAAGAGGUUGGCAGAAAGAUUGCUAUGCGAUCACCUCACACGAACCUAGAGUUCCAGAAGAUCUUUUCUUUGCCACCAGAAGAAUUCCUUAUCAAUGAUUUUACCUGCCAUUUAAAGCGCAAGAUGCUCACACAGGGUCGCUUGUUUUUAUCCCCAAGAAUUAUUGGGUUCUACACAAAUCUUUUUGGCCACAAAACAAAAUUCUUCUUUCUUUGGGAAGAUAUUGAAGAGAUUCAAUUGCUCCCUGCAACUCUAUCUUCGAUGGGAAGCCCAUCUCUGCUGAUUACUCUUCGCAAGGGCAGAGGAAUGGAUGCAAGGCAUGGAGCAAAGCAACUGGACGAUGAAGGGAGACUCAAGUUUCAUCUCCAAUCCUUUGUGUCAUUCAACGCGGCACAUAAAACAAUAAUGGCACUGUGGAAGGCGAGGUCUUUGACCCCUGAAGAAAAAAUUCAGCUGGUAGAAGAGGAAUCAGAAACGAAAGACCUCCAAAAUGAGGAAGGUGGAUCUUUCUUAGGCAUAGAGGAUGUCAAAAUGUCGGAAGUAUUCUCAUCUACAAUACCUUUUGAUGUUCCAGUACUCAUGGGCAUAUUUGAGGGUGGCCCUGUGGAGCGUCGAAUUAUGGAGAAAGUUGGCUGUAUGGACUACUCUGUGACAGCAUGGGAACCAGUCAGGGCCGAUGUGCACCAGAGACAAGUCCACUGCAGGCUUGACAAGAAAGUGGCACGCCGUGAGGGGGAAGUAAUGAGCACCCAACAGAAGUCCCCGUUGCCUGAUAAGAAUGGAUGGCUCGUUGAAGAAGUGAUGACACUUGAAGGUAUCCCACUCGGCGAAUUUUUCAAUCUCCAUAUUCGAUACCAGUUGGAGCAGACUUCGUCCAAGCAGAAGUCAUCCAGUGUCCAAGUAUUUAUUGGUAUGGCAUGGUUAAAGAGCUGCAAGAAUCGAAAGAAGAUCACGCAGGAGGUGGCAUCCAAGUUGUCUUCUCGCCUCAAGAAGAUAUUCAGCCAACUUGAGAAGGAACUUAUACCAGCUAACUAG